CACAGCCCCUCCUGGACCGCACGGUCCCAGAUUACACAACCUUCACUACAGUUGGUGACUGGCUAGAUGCCAUCAAGAUGGGGCGGUACAAGGAGAGCUUUGUCAGCGCGGGGUUUGCAACCUUUGACCUGGUGGCUCAGAUGACUGCAGAAGACCUGCUCCGGAUUGGGGUCACCUUGGCUGGCCAUCAGAAGAAGAUCCUUAGCAGUAUCCAGGACAUGCGGCUACAGAUGAACCAGACACUGCCCGUGCAGGUCUGACACCUGACUCCCACUGGGUGGGUACCCCCCAAGGACUGUGCAGGGACUCUGACCAGCCGGCUGGACUUUUGGACUUUUGGAUGCCUGGCCUUAGGCUGUGGCCCAGAAGAUGGAAGUUUGGGGAAGGCCCAAACUGGGACUUCUCCUCCAUGCCUGUGCUCCCUCCCCAGGAAGUGUGCCCCAAACCUCUUCAUAUUGAAGAUGGAUUAGGAGAGGGGGUGAUGACCCCUCCCCAAGCCCCUCAGGGCCCAGGCCUUCCUGCUCUCCAGUGGGGGAUCCCCACCACCUCAGACUUCGCUGUUCUUCAGUGCUGGAGGUCCUGGCAGGGUCAGGUGGAGGAUAAGCCUGGGUUCUAUAGGGCCCAGCCCUGGCAGGGGUCUGGCCCCCCCAGGUAGGCAGAGUAGUCCCUCCCUCAGGAACUGGAGGAGGGGACUCCGGGAAUGGGGAAAUGUGACACCCCAUCCUGAAGCCAGCUGGCACCUCCAGUUUGCACAGGGACUUGUUCUGGGGGCUGAGGGCCCUGCCCCACCCCCACCCUUGGUGCUGUCAUAAAAGGGCAGGCAGGGGCAGGCUGAGGAGUAGCCCCUUGCCCCCCAGAGACUGACUCUCAGAGCCAGAGUUUGGAUGUGUAUGUGAGUGUGUUCGUGUGUGUGUGUGCGCGUGCGUGUGUGUGUCUGUGCAUGCACUGGCCUGCACAGAGAGCAUGGGUGAGUGUGUAAAAGCUUGGCCCUGUGCCCUGCAGUGGGGUGAGCUGGGCCGUCAGCGGAAUAAAGGCAAUAAGAUGAU